CUCCUCUCAGGAUCACACCUGGAGAGUUUCUAGUACUCUACCAGUCUCGGCUACAGGAGGGAGAGUCAAUCAGAGGCCUGUCCGUUCCAUUCCUAGCUUGGGCUGUGGCUAGCAUGUGGAAGGCAACCUGCUACAAGU
rnacentral:snoRNA from 1 species